CCAUGGAAGCUGUGAGCGCCCGAAGUCCGUGUCGCAACCUGGGGCAACCCGGGAGCAAGCGGCCGAAGGCGAGCGCAGUGACUGGGGCG
rnacentral:rRNA from 1 species